rnacentral:rRNA from 1 species
UACGUAGGGUGCAAGCGUUGUCCGGAAUUAUUGGGCGUAAAGAGCUCGUAGGCGGUUUGUCGCGUCUGCUGUGAAAUCCCGAGGCUCAACCUCGGGCCUGCAGUGGGUACGGGCAGACUAGAGUGCGGUAGGGGAGAUUGGAAUUCCUGGUGUAGCGGUGGAAUGCGCAAAUAUCAGGAGGAACACCGAUGGCGAAGGCAGAUCUCUGGGCCGUAACUGACGCUGAGGAGCGAAAGCGUGGGGAGCGAACAGG